rnacentral:rRNA from 1 species
CAGCCGCCACGGUAAUACGGAGGGUGCAAGCGUUAAUCGGAAUUACUGGGCGUAAAGCGUGCGUAGGCGGUUCGUUAAGUCUGUUGUGAAAGCCCCGGGCUCAACCUGGGAAUGGCAAUGGAUACUGGCGAGCUAGAGUGUGUCAGAGGAUGGUGGAAUUCCCGGUGUAGCGGUGAAAUGCGUAGAGAUCGGGAGGAACAUCAGUGGCGAAGGCGGCCAUCUGGGACAACACUGACGCUGAGGCACGAAAGCGUGGGGAGCAAACAGGAUUAGAUACCCCGGUAGUCCAUGUCUCUUAUAC